rnacentral:rRNA from 1 species
UUGUCUAAAGGAUUAAGCCAUGCAUGUGAAAGUAUAGAUUUUUUAAUUAAAAACGAAACUGCGAACGGCUCCUUAAAACCGUUAUAAUCUACUUGGAAUUGUUUUUACUAGGAUACCUACGGAAAUGCUGUAGCUAAUACUUGCUGAUAUACUUUCGAGUGUAUCGUAUUCGUUGGCUUUGGUAAUAUUAUGUGUAAUUUAAAUCUCAUGGAAUCACAAUGAAGAAAAGAUGGUUACGUUAUUUAUUGACAAGCACGUACCAAAUGAGUUUCUGUUCUAUCAGCUAAUCACGAAGGUAUUGUCUUGGUGAGGCCGUGACGGACAACCGGGAAGUAGAGUUCGAUUCCGGAGAAGGUGCCUGAGAGAUGGCGACUAUAACUACGGUUAGCAGCAGGCGCGAAAAUUGCCCAAUGUCAAUGAGGUGAGGCAGCGACUAGACAUACCGGACUUCGACUGUUUUCACAGUUGAUGGACUGGAUUAAGAUUUCUUUAAACGAGAAAUCGAGAGGUAGUUUAGAUUAAGUUGAAGUACCAGCAUUUGCGGUAAUACUUCCUCAAACGAAUGUAUGUUAAAGUUGUUGCGGUUAUAACGCUCGUAGUUGAUUAUUAUCUACGAAAUAUCUACCAAUUGUAAUCUCAUAUAUAUUAGGUAUGCUGAUUGGUCUAUCGUGGCAUGAUCAUAUAACACUUUGCUAUAUUUUUGAAAAUAGUAGAAGGUUUGAUUGUUACCUUGAGAAAAUUAGAGUGUUCAAAACUUAUUUUUGUUUUUUUUUUUUGAAUACAAUAGCAUGGAAUAACUGAUUUGCGCCAAUGUUUGUUUGUUCACAAGAGCAAAACAACAUUAGUGCCGAUUAAUAGGAGCAGUUGGGGGCAUCCGUACUCCGAAGCUAGAGGUGAAAUUCUGUGACUUUCGGAAGACGCACGACUGCGAAGGCACUUGUCCAAAAUGCAUCCAUUAAUCAAGAGCGAAGUUAUGGGCAUCUAAAAAGAUCAGAGACCUUUGUAAUCCAUAAAGUAAAUUAUGCCGUCCAAGACGGAGUUGCUGUCUUAUAACGAUCGCAUGCAUUAUAUAUCACAUUAAAUAAAGUUUCCGUUUUGUUCUAUUUGUAAUGUAGACUGUAGAGAUAUGGUUUAAGGCUAAUUCUGUCUUCGUGAGAAAUCCGAGAUUUUGGGUUCUCGGACGAGUAUAAGCGCAAGCUAGAAAGUUAAAAGAAUUGACGGAGAGGCACCACAAAGCGUGGAGCAUGCGGCUUAAUUUAAUUUAAUACGAUAAAGUUUACUAGUGUAAGACAGCAGUAGAUUGACAAAUGUGCAUAUGUUUCAUGAUUUGCUGGCAAGUGACGCAUAGCCGUUCUUAGCUUUUGGCGUGAGCUAAUUUAGUCUAUUCCGUUAACAAGCGGGACCUCCACCUCUGUUUGUGUAAUUUAUUGUAAAUAAAAAAACGUGUUGUUUUUAGCUUGCGUCGCCUUCAGUUUAGAUUGUUGUUAAAAAUUGUAAAAAUAAAUACUGAAUAUUUGCAAUAAAAACAAUUUGUAUUUACAGAAUAAUUACCAUUAGCUUUACAGAGGGACGUCGUGUUUCUAACUCGAGGCAGGGAGGCCACAACAGGUGCGUGAUGUCCGUGUAUAUGCUAGGUAGCACGCGUGCUACAUUGGCGCGCACAACAGGUUAAAAUCAAAAAAUGAAUAUCGUAUAUGCGCAAAAUUGUAUAAAGUACUUCUCUUUUUUUUUUUUUUUUUCUUGAAAAAGCAAAAAAAUUCUGAAUGCGCGUCGUGACGGGGAUCCAAUUUUGCAAUCAAAAUACUUGAACAAGGAAUGCUUAGUAAGCGCAACUUAUCAUGUUGCGCUGUAUGCGUAACUGCCUUUUGCACACACCGCCCGUCGUUGCUUUUAAUAGAACGCCAAGUAAUUUGUGUCAAGUUGUCAUAUUAAUUCAUGAUAAUUCAGAAGCACUAAAAACUUUGUUCUUUAUAAAAAA